rnacentral:rRNA from 1 species
CCCCGGGCUCAACCUGGGAACUGCGUUCUGAACUGGGUGACUAGAGUGUGUCAGAGGGAGGUAGAAUNCCACGUGUAGCAGUGAAAUGCGUAGAGAUGUGGAGGAAUACCGAUGGCGAAGGCAGCCUCCUGGGAUAACACUGACGUUCAUGCCCGAAAGCGUGGGUAGCAAACAGGAUUAGAUACCCUGGUAGUCCACCCCCUAAACGAUGUCGAUUAGCUGUUGGGCAGCAUGACUGCGCAGUAGCGAAGCUAACGCGUGAAAUCGACCGCCUGGGGAGUACGGUCGCAAGAUUAAAACUCAAAGGAAUUGACGGGGACCCGCACAAGCGGUGGAUGAUGUGGAUUAAUUCGAUGCAACGCGAAGAACCUUACCUGGUCUUGACAUGUACGGAACCCUCCAGAGACGGAGGGGUGCCUUCGGGAGCCGUAACACAGGUGCUGCAUGGCUGUCGUCAGCUCGUGUCGUGAGAUGUUGGGUUAAGUCCCGCAACGAGCGCAACCCUUGUCAUUAGUUGCCAUCAUUAAGUUGGGCACUCUAAUGAGACUGCCGGUGACAAGCCGGAGGAAGGUGGGGAUGACGUCAAGUCCUCAUGGCCCUUAUGACCAGGGCUUCACACGUCAUACAAUGGUCGGUACAGAGGGUAGCCAAGCCGCGAGGUGGAGCCAAUCUCACAAAACCGAUCGUAGUCCGGAUUGCACUCUGCAACUCGAGUGCAUGAAGUCGGAAUCGCUAGUAAUCGCAGGUCAGCAUACUGCGGUGAAUACGUUCCCGGGUCUUGUACACACCGCCCGUCACACCAUGGGAGUGGGGGAUACCAGA